GCCUGAGUGGCUUAGUCAGUUAAGCAUCCGACUUUGGCUCAGGUCAUCAUCUCACCGUUUGUGGGUUUGAGUCCCACAUUGGGCU
rnacentral:tRNA from 1 species